rnacentral:rRNA from 1 species
UAGAGUUUGAUGCAUGGCUCAGAUUGAACGCUGGCGGCAGGCUUAACACAUGCAAGUCGAGCGGUAACAGGAGAAGCUUGCUUCUCGCUGACGAGCGGCGGCCGGGUGAGUACAUACUUAGCGAAUCUGCCUAGUAGUGGGGGAUAGCUAGGGGAAUCUCGAAUUAAUACCGCAUACUGCCCUACGGGAGAAAGGGGGCAGCUUGUUGCUCUCGCUAUUAGAUGAGCCUAAGUCGCAUUAGCUAGAUGGUGGGGUAAAGGCCUACCCAUGGCGACGAUGUGUAGCUGGUCUGAGAGGAUGAUCAGCCACACCGGGACUGAGACACGGCCCGGACUCCUACGGGAGGCAGCAGUGGGGAAUUAUUUGGACAAUGGGGGCAACCCUGAUCCAGCACAUGCCGCGUGAUGUGAAGAAGGCUCUUUUGGUUGUAAAGCUCUUUAUAGGCAGUGAAGA